UCAGCUCGUGUCGUGAGAUGUUGGGUUAAGUCCCGCAACGAGCGCAACCCUUAUCCUUUGUUGCCAGCGGUUAGGCCGGGAACUCAAAGGAGACUGCCAGUGAUAAACUGGAGGAAGGUGGGGAUGACGUCAAGUCAUCAUGGCCCUUACGAGUAGGGCUACACACGUGCUACAAUGGCGCAUACAAAGAGAAGCGACCUCGCGAGAGCAAGCGGACCUCAUAAAGUGCGUCGUAGUCCGGAUUGGAGUCUGCAACUCGACUCCAUGAAGUCGGAAUCGCUAGUAAUCGUAGAUCAGAAUGCUACGGUGAAUACGUUCCCGGGCCUUGUACACACCGCCCGUCACACCAUGGGAGUGGGUUGCAAAAGAAGUAGGUAGCUUAACCUUCGGGAGGGCGCUUACCACUUUGUGAUUCAUGACUGGGGUGAAGUCGUAACAAGGUAACCGUAGGGGAACCUGCGGUUGGAUCACCUCCUU
rnacentral:rRNA from 1 species